rnacentral:rRNA from 1 species
AAUGGCUCAUUAAAUCAGUUAUCGUUCAUUUGAUAGCAAAUUACUACUUGGAUAACCGUGGUAAUUCUAGGGCUAAUACAUGCUGAAAACCCCAACUUCGGAAGGGGUGUGUUUAUUAGAUAAAAAACCAAUGCCCUUCGGGGCUCUUUGGUGAAUCAUGAUAACCUAACGAAUCGCAUGGCCUUGCGCCGGCGAUGGUUCAUUCAAAUUUCUGCCCUAUCAACUUUCGAUGGUAGAGUAGUGGUCUACCAUGGUUUCAACGGGUGACGGGGAAUUAGGGUUCGACUCCGGAGAGGGAGCCUGAGAAACGGCUACCACAUCCAAGGAAGGCAGCAGGCGCGCAAAUUACCCAAUCCCGACUCGGGGAGGUAGUGACAAUAAAUACUAAUACAGGGCUCUUUUGGGUCUUGUAAUUGGAAUGAGUACAAUUUAAAUCCCUUAACGAGGAACAAUUGGAGGGCAAGUCUGGUGCCAGCAGCCGCGGUAAUUCCAGCUCCAAUAGCGUAUAUUAAAGUUGUUGCAGUUAAAAAGCUCGUAGUUGAACCUUGGGCCUGGCCGGCCGGUCCGCCUCACCGCGUGCACUGGCCCGGCCGGGUCUUUCCUUCUGGGGAGCCGCAUGCCCUUUACUGGGCGUGUCGGGGAUCCAGGACUUUUACUUUGAAAAAAUUAGAGUGUUCAAAGCAGGCCUUUGCUCGAAUACAUUAGCAUGGAAUAAUAGAAUAGGACGUGCGGUCCUAUUUUGUUGGUUUCUAGGACCGCCGUAAUGAUUAAUAGGGACAGUCGGGGGCAUCCGUAUUCAAUUGUCAGAGGUGAAAUUCUUGGAUUUAUUGAAGACGAACUACUGCGAAAGCAUUUGCCAAGGAUGUUUUCAUUAAUCAGUGAACGAAAGUUAGGGGAUCGAAGACGAUCAGAUACCGUCGUAGUCUUAACCGUAAACUAUGCCGACUAGGGAUCGGGCGAUGUUACCAUUUUGACUCGCUCGGCACCUUACGAGAAAUCAAAGUCUUU